UUAGAUCAGAAGCGAGAAUGUUGACAUGAGUAGCGACAAACAGGGUGAGAAACCCUGUCGCCGAAAGUCCAAGGGUUCCUGCUUAAAGCUAAUCUGAGCAGGGUAAGCCGGCCCCUAAGGCGAGGCCGAAAGGCGUAGUCGAUGGGAACCAGGUUAAUAUUCCUGGGCCAGUGGGAUGUGACGGAUCGCAGAUGUAGUUUGCCCUUAUCGGAUUGGGUGGGCUGCUGAGCGGUUCCAGGAAAUAGCCCCACAUCAGACCGUACCCUAAACCGACACAGGUGGACUGGUAGAGUAUACCAAGGCGCUUGAGAGAACCACGUUAAAGGAACUCGGCAAAAUGCCUCCGUAAGUUCGCGAGAAGGAGGCCCCAUAUGUACGCAAGUAUGUGUGGGGGGCACAAACUAGGGGGUGGCGACUGUUUACUUAAAACACAGGGCUGUGCGAAGCCGUAAGGCGACGUAUACAGUCUGACGCCUGCCCGGUGCUGGAAGAUUAAGAGGAGGGGUGCAAGCUCUGAAUUGAAGUCCCAGUAAACGGCGGCCGUAACGAUAACGGUCCUAAGGUAGCGAAAUUCCUUGUCGGGUAAGUUCCGACCUGCACGAAUGGCGUAACGAUCUCCCCGCUGUCUCUAACGUGGACUCAGCGAAAUUGAACUGUGUGUCAAGAUGCACACUACCCGCGGUUAGACGGAAAGACCCCAUGAACCUUUACUCCAGCUUUGCACUGGUAUCAGGAUUGUGAUGUGCAGGAUAGGUGGUAGGCAUUGAAGCGGGGACGCCAGUCUUCGUGGAGCCUCCCUUGAGAUACCACCCUUCGCCAUCUUGAUAUCUAACCGCGGCCCGUUAUCCGGGUCCGGGACCCUGCAUGGUGGGGAGUUUGACUGGGGCGGUCGCCUCCCAAACAGUAACGGAGGCGCGCGAUGGUUGGCUCAGACCGGUCGGAAAUCGGUCGUUGAGUGCAAUGGCAGAAGCCAGCCUGACUGCAAGACUGACAAGUCGAGCAGAGACGAAAGUCGGUCAUAGUGAUCCGGUGGUCCCAAGUGGGAGGGCCAUCGCUCAACGGAUAAAAGGUACUCUGGGGAUAACAGGCUGAUGAUGCCCAAGAGUCCAUAUCGACGGCAUCGUUUGGCACCUCGAUGUCGGCUCAUCUCAUCCUGGGGCUGGAGCAGGUCCCAAGGGUAUGGCUGUUCGCCAUUUAAAGAGGUACGUGAGCUGGGUUUAGAACGUCGUGAGACAGUUCGGUCCCUAUCUGCCGUGGGUGCAGGAGACUUGAGAAGAGUUGACCCUAGUACGAGAGGACCGGGUUGAACGAACCACUGGUGGACCAGUUAUCGUGCCAACGGUAGUGCUGGGUAGCUAUGUUCGGACAGGAUAACCGCUGAAGGCAUCUAAGCGGGAAGCCCCCUUCAAAACAAGGUCUCCCUUGAGGGCCGUGGAAGACGACCACGUCGAUAGGCCAGAGGUGUAAGUGCAGCAAUGCAUUCAGCUGACUGGUACUAAUUGCCCGAAG
rnacentral:rRNA from 1 species